rnacentral:rRNA from 1 species
UACGUAGGUGGCGAGCGUUGUUCGGAUUUAUUGGGCGUAAAGGGUCCGCAGGGGGUUUGCCAAGUCUGAUGUGAAAUCCCGUGGCUCAACCACGGAACUGCAUUGGAAACUAGCAGACUGGAGUGCUGGAGAGGUAAGCGGAAUUCCAGGUGUAGCGGUGGAAUGCGUAGAUAUCUGGAAGAACACCGAGAGCGAAGGCAGCUUACUGGACAGAUACUGACCCUCAGGGACGAAAGCGUGGGGAG